GAUGUUUACCUGUGUAACUGAAAGACGGGGACGGCUUUAUUAAUGAAUGAGGAUUUGCAAUGCACCUGCUGGUUCUGUGCCAGAUGAGCCGAUCGCUUUCCACGGGAGACAAUCGUGCCUGCUCGUGCUCCACAGACGUUCUGAGUGAAAAGACGUCUCUAUUGUCUGCACCUGUGUUUGAUCAUCAUGUGAGAUUACCUGUCAACACUCAGCGAUGCGGCACAAAACAUCUCUUCUCCCUGCCUGGCUCGCCUCCAGUCUGUCUGCUGCAGUGAGAGUGAAGCUGGAGUUCAGAUGCUGCAGCACGUGCAACAGGGCAAUGUGGAGCCUUCCAGAAAAGUGACACCACCAAGCAGUCUCGCCAAGGCAACACCAAGGGAACAUGAACACAAAUUCUGCAACAAACCUAUGAUGCCAAUAACAUCACACCCCAUUUUGCAAGUAAACUGCUCAGAACACCAGUCCAUCUUUUAAAAAUGCUUAAACCUUUGCAGGGUCAUGGGGAUGCUGGAGCCUAUCCCCAUCCAAGUCCAUUUCAGCACCACACUCACAUACCAAAGACACAAUUUGGAGUCACCAAUCUACCUAUGAAACAUGUUUGUGGACUGAGGUGAAGCUGGAUGGCCUGGAGGAAACCCGCACAUGCUUACAGGAGGGCCCAGCUUUGAGCCAGCCUUCUCACUGUGAGCGGAGGUGCUAACCACUGUGCAGCCCAUUCUCAAAGGAGCUCACCAUAAAACCACAAAGCUUACUGUAUAUUUCAUUGAGCAACACAAUAUCAUGCAUUCAGCACAUCCACAUGCUCCGUUUUUUAUGUAAACCAACCAAAACAAAAAGUGGGCUACGGCCAGCUGUUUGGUGUGUGAAACAGUGGCAUCCAUGCUCAAGCCAUGAAGAUGCUGAACCAAGCGUACAAGCAUGCUCCAGCAUGGCUCAGUACAAAGUUCUGGGUGAGAGGCCUUCAGUCCGGCUCUUUACACUGAGUCUUUGUUUAGUUUUUAUACCUGUUGACAUGUUGUUAUCCGUCAUUCUUGCAGUCAAAUAAAUGACAUUUAAAUUACAGCAUAAUCCAGAUUUCAUUUUAAUGUAAUUUACAGUAAGCAUUGAAAGUAAUUACAUCUCCUUCGUGUUUAAAUAAAACAUCAUAAACCUU